AACAAAUGUUUUAACCCACUGUCUUCACUAAUAUUGUAACUACUGUCUUACAGAUUGACUUGAUGCACAACAUCACAAAGGCGAUUUUUGAGAACUGAUAGUGCAUCAGCCGACCCAGGUAAUUUAAAAUAUUCUUCAUCCAGAGAUAGAGGUGGUUCUUCCUCUUACGGACUGCAACCUUCAAAUUCAGCUGUGGUGUCUCGGCAAAGGCACGAUGAUACCAGAGUCCACGCUGACAUACAGAAUGACGAAAAGGAGAGAUCGAUGUCUUAUUGUGAUGAGUCUCGACUGUCAUAUCUUCUUCGGAGGAUCACCCGGGAAAACGACCGAGACCGAAGAUUGGCUACUGUAAAGCAGUUGAAAGAAUUUAUUCAGCAACCAGAAAAUAAGCUGGUACUAGUUAAACAAUUGGAUAUCUUGGCUGCUGUACAUGAUGUGCUUAAUGAAAGUAGCAAAUUGCUUCAGGAGUUGAGACAGGAGGGAGCUUGCUGUCUCGGCCUUCUUUGUGCUUCUCUGAGCUAUGAGGCUGAGAAGAUCUUCAAGUGGAUUUUUAGCAAAUUUAGCUCAUCUGCAAAAGAUGAAGUUAAACUCCUCUACUUAUGUGCCACCUACAAAGCACUAGAGACUGUAGGAGAAAAGAAAGCCUUUUCAUCUGUAAUGCAGCUUGUAAUGACCAGCCUGCAGUCAAUUCUUGAAAAUGUGGAUACACCAGAAUUGCUUUGCAAAUGUGUUAAGUGCAUUCUUUUGGUGGCUCGAUGUUACCCUCAUAUUUUCAGCACUAAUUUUAGGGUGAGUUCCUCAUUCCGCUGUUCAGAUCAUGGGGUGAGGGGGAUGGUUGUGUGUGUGAGGAACUGAGGAAUCAGAUGGAAAACAGUGCCUCUGCUCCUUUGAAUAUAAUCAGUGAUAUUUGAGGUUCCAGGGUUAAAUGCCGCAUUUUUCUUUCUGACGUUCGUACCUUAAAAUAUUUGAAGAAAAUAAACUAUUUCAUUGUUGUCAGAAAUGUAGUUCUUUUAUUUUCCUGCCCCUCUCCCCUUUCUAAGUUUCUAGAAUGUCAAGUAGGUAGAACAUAGAUGCUCCUUUUAGGAUCUUUUGCUGUGAAAUGGUCCACAGGUGGAUUGCAGUAAUAUCUUAAAAUGAUUGGCCCCCUCUCUCUUUGUUUCCAUCAAGGAUACAGUUGGUAUAUUAGUUGGAUGGCAUAGAGAUCAUACUCAGAAACCUUCGCUCACGCAGCAGGUAUCUGGUAAGUCUUGCAGCCUAUACCAGUUAUUUAAAUACUGUCGGGGAGGAGCAGUGGUCCCCCAGUGACCAUCUAUCAAUACCAUUUCUUUAAUAAUGCAAGAAAACUAAUUCAGAGAAAUGUUUUAUUGUAAAUGAACAUGACUUGUUAGCUAAAUAUAUAUUUUCAGAGGAAAUUACUAGUAGGUGGGUAGAGUAAGUACAGACAGGACUUACCCAAGUUAUUUGUAGUUUGUACUGGUAGGAAAGUAUAUGGUAAGAAUAUAUUGCAGUGGCAAUACCCUGAAGUGGACAAUGGAAGAUCCAAGUUAUUUGUCACAUUUUAUUGUUUUUCUGGUUAUUUUUUUAAAAAA
ensembl:lncRNA novel transcript